UUAAGUUAGAAAAAUUUCAACCUAGUUAUUAAUACUUAAAACUAACCAUAUCUUUGGUUAAGAAUUUUAUAUACGGAACCCAUCUGAUAGAGCGUAUGAGUUAGCUAUAUACGUCGGACAACAAGCAUUAGCAAAUUCAUUAGCUCCUAAUAUCAUUACAUGUCCAUGAAGGAUAUUUACAGCUAAAUAUUUGAAUUAGUAUGCACGAUUUUUACGAGUUAACAGAGGGAUUCUACCUGCUAGUGUUAGUGAAAUUGAUGGUAUUUACUCCGAAAGCCUUUACAGCAUUCAACUUUAUACCAAUCUUUUAGUAAACGUGUUUAUCUACUUCCUGUUACUUGACUAUCUUUAAAAAACAUUAAGCAA